rnacentral:rRNA from 1 species
AUUGAACGCUGGCGGCAGGCCUAACACAUGCAAGUCGGGCGGUAGCACAGGAGAGCUUGCUCUCCGGGUGACGAGCGGCGGACGGGUGAGUAAUGUCUGGGAAACUGCCUGAUGGAGGGGGAUAACUACUGGAAACGGUAGCUAAUACCGCAUAACGUCGCAAGACCAAAGAGGGGGACCUUCGGGCCUCUUGCCAUCGGAUGUGCCCAGAUGGGAUUAGCUAGUAGGUGAGGUAAAGGCUCACCUAGGCGACGAUCCCUAGCUGGUCUGAGAGGAUGACCAGCCACACUGGAACUGAGACACGGUCCAGACUCCUACGGGAGGCAGCAGUGGGGAAUAUUGCACAAUGGGCGCAAGCCUGAUGCAGCCAUGCCGCGUGUAUGAAGAAGGCCUUCGGGUUGUAAAGUACUUUCAGCGGGGAGGAAGGUGUUGUGGUUAAUAACCACAGCAAUUGACGUUACCCGCAGAAGAAGCACCGGCUAACUCCGUGCCAGCAGCCGCGGUAA